GUCUGAAACUGAGGUUUCACCAUACGAAGCAAAAUAUGAGCUGACAGUGAAUGUGAUGCAGCAACACGGUGUAAAAAUAGUUCCAGGGUGAUGUUCAGCACGGUGUAAAAAGUAGUUCC